GGCUCCAGUGUUUAUUUUAGAAUUCAUUUGUGAGGAAACAUCAUUUCAAAUUCCACUGUCAAGUUCUCAUCCGGGAUUGCUCAUUCCUUCAGCAGACAUCCAGGGGCGGGCAGAUGCCCGGCACCGGGGCCUCUGACACCCCGUCACCCGCCUCUGCUCGCCCGCGGGCUCGCUCCCUUCCGUGGUCGGAUGAAGGGGUGGCCGUGCAGCGUCCUGACAAGGGUGAGGCGUGAUGCCCGAAAGCCCCCGAAAGUGCACAGCUCUUAACCAUUUAUCCACAAAAGGGCUGCCUGAGCCAUGCUGGAAAGAUCCACUGGCAGGACCGUCUCUCAGUUUCUCGGAGAAGCCAGAUGCGGUGUCCCUUUCUGGUAUUUUCCAGUUUCCCUCGUGGGGGUCCCUCUCUUCCUUCAGAACCUGACACCCCGAGCUGAAGCCUUCCCCUGCUCGCCUGGAUGCCCCAACAGUUUCCUGACCUGCUGCCCCAGUUUCUUUCAUCUCUGAGCCUCCUGGGCUGCACAUCGUUGGCUUUGGAUCCACGGUCAACUACCUCCCUGACGCAAGAGCCCCUCCUAUGACCCCCAAACCCUCCUUCACUGAAGCAUCCGCCAGCCUUUCAGGGUCACAGACCUCCUCCUCGAGCCUGUGCUGUAGAAGAUACCUCCAGGAGUCUGGAUGCGGUAAGAAGUCGCCCCUGCCCCAUCCCCUCCUGGGAUCCAGACGUUUUUCCCGUAAGGAGGAGAGGGGUUAGCGUGCUGGUCUGUGGCCCUCCACGCUGCUCCUCACCCUCUAGGGCUGCAGCCUGUUCAUUACUUCUUCUAACGCAAGACCAGGGGGAUGCAGCUCUGUCUGCAGGUCCGUACCGAAGGGACAGACGCGGUAUGCCUGAGAUGAGUCUCUGCCGGAACGGCAGAGGGACACACUCGCGUGCUCAGCUCGCCUCUGAUUGCGAGUUUCUGGCACUCAGCUGUGGACACGGUGCCGGUGGGGAGCAGCACGGAGGCCGGGAGACCCGGGCUGACCGUGGUGGGGACCAGUGUCCAGCGCAGACCCAGCCACCGAUGCAUGCCCUCCCUGCACCUCGAGUCAUGUGCCGCCCCCUUGUUACUUUGGUUUCUAAACGCCAGGCUAUUUAACAAGGGUCAUGACCAAGUUUUCCCAGGAAAUAUGCGGUGUGUUAGAGUUUGGGGGUUAUACCCAACUGCACCUCUUUCUCUUGGUGGAUUCUAAACCAACGAGGAGUCUGUGAGGAAUGCUUUCUCAGAGCCCUCCGGGUGUGGGGAGAGCCUGCCACGUGAGCAGUACGCUGGCCAGGAGCAGAGGAGAAAGGGCUGCUCACCGGGAGCCUCGGGAGAGCAAGGAGGGCAGGCCCUGUGGAGCAGGGACCUCAGCCUUGUCCCUUGGAGGUCACUGCCUCAUGGGGGCCGCGGACGCUGCGUCCAGACUCCCCUGCCCACCAUCCUUGGGGAGAGGGCUGAGAGGCAGGCUGCAGUGGGCUCUGGUGGAAGCGUCUUCGUGGAAACAAGGGUCCACACAACAUGGACUGUGACCUGGGGCUCCCUGAACCCACCUUCUCAGCUCUGCCUGAAGCUCUGAGCAGGCCCUUCUUUGUACCUGAGACCUCUUCAUUCCAGGAAAGGACACGGCCACGGCUCCCUUGGGCCCCUUUCUCUCUGUGCCUCCCCUGCUCUCUCCCCUUUCCUUACCACGCCGGGUUGACGCUCCCUCCCACGAGAGCCUGCUUUCAAUAAAAGAUGGGCGCAAGAAGGCAUCUGCAGCAUUUCAUCUUGAAUUCCUGCGAUGAAUGCAUUUGGUCCGGUCAGUGGGCUGGGCCCCAGUCUGAGGAGCUUUGCAGAGUCAGGACCGGUUCUGUGUGGGGGUUUGCAUUGUCCCUUAGCGAGGUGGGGAGAUGGGCCGGCGGCUGCUGGAUGUCUGCAGGGACUCUUUGUGGACUACUCAUCAGCAAGUGUGUCGAGAGAAAGCCAGCGGUGUGCCUGCCUGCCCCAGUGUGCGUGUUAUGAGCUGCGCCCUUGAUGUACUGAGCGCCAAAGUAUUCUCAACAGAGCCCACGUUGGGCCUGACGUACCAGUGGGACAGUCAUCCAUUCAUGGAAGGAAAAUUAACAGAGAAUAACAAGAUCGCCACGAGCAACAACCACAGGUAAUGAUGGGGAUCGUGUCGUGCGCUCCAUACACCAGGCACGAGGAUCUUCGACCCCCUUGCUGAGAGGCUCUGGGUGAUGCUCCCGGGGUGGGCUGCACAGGGCUGCUCUGGGACCUGGCUCCCAGCAAUCCUAACGAGACUCUUCACCUACCACCCCCAGAGCCUCGGAUUCUAGGGACAGGGAGGGCCGUCAGGAGUCCUCCCCGACUCCCAUCCCAGAGUUCCCCGUUUGCGUAUUUGUGAAUCAUUUACAAACCAGCAGUGGGGGGCCUCGUCGCAAACACACCCUCCAUGUCUGGCUCGGCCCGGGGCUGCAGAUGCCUCCUCCCAAGGUGGUGCAAACAAUUAUCACAGUCUUAACAGAUAUUGCACUCAGAAUUGCUUGUCAGACUUGGGAAUAUCACUUCUCUCUUUUGCAAGGAGGUCAUUACAGUAUGCACUGCAAUUGGAUUUUGCUCUGGUUUGUGGCAUCACGGAGAUGUAAGAAGGUUAGUAAUGAUUGCUAAAAACAUUCGUCUUGAGUCUUUUGAAAGAAGGACUGCAUUUGGGGGAAUUAAAAUGGAUGAAAUGCACAUAAUAGAUUUGUGUUUGGAGUAGGCUGACAGAACCGUCCGGAGGAUGCUGCCAAGCCUUGGGCCGCUAGGAGUUUCCGCUCAUCACCCAUGGGGAACACUCACCUCCUCUUGCUGGAGCGUCUCGGGUUCAUCAGGGAGCCCGACCUGGGAGUCGGGAGGCCGAGUGGAAGACGUGGAAGGCAGACAGGGAAUGUGAACUCUUAGAACCAAACAGGCUUGGGCACAAAUCUCACCUCCUUUAUUAUUAAACGUGUGAUUGUGGACCUCCGAUUCACAUGUGCAGACCGGGUAGUGACACAUAACUCUGGGGUUAGUGCAAACACGUGAUGAUAUGCGGGACAAAGGUUAUGACAAGUCACUGUUGUGGGGAUCCCCCCCUUCUCCGGGGAAGCCGCAGACCGCCACGGGGCCAUGGCCCCCCCCCAGCGCCUGCAUCCUCAUUCACAACACGCUCCUGUUAAUCCCACGCCCACGGCCCUGGAGGGAUUAACGGGACCCCAGCAACGUAAUGUGUCCAAAGGACUCUAAGGGCUAAAGUAAAGAGAAGAAAAAUCCCCAUUUCCCCCUAAAAGGAUUAU